GACGAACCGUGCGAACGUUAUUCGGAAUCACUGGGCUUAAAGCGCGUGUAGGCGGGCCGGCACGUCGGCUGCUGAAAUCCCCCGGCUCAACCGGGGAAGGGGCACCGAUACGACCGGCCUGGAGGGGGGUAGGGGGGACGGGAACUUCCGGUGGAGCGGUGAAAUGCGUUGAGAUCGGAAGGAACGCCCGCGGCGAAAGCGCGUCCCUGGACCCCGCCUGACGCUGAGACGCGAAAGCCAGGGGAGCGAACGGG
rnacentral:rRNA from 1 species